rnacentral:lncRNA from 1 species
GAUCUCCAGACAGCUACAAAGAGAAUAUCAGUGGAUCAUUGGAAUUUCACCUAGAUUUUUCUCAUCAAACUGCCCACACAUUUUAUUCCUGUUGGAUGGAGAGGAGGUCGUGAGUGGGUAUCUGGAAGGACGUAGCAAACAUGGCUGUGCAGUGGGCCUUGAAGGAUGGAAACCACUUCCUGAGGAUGGUGAACUGGCAAGACAGGAACCUUGGUUACUGAGAUGAAGAUGCUGUAUCAACCCUGGAUGGCCUCCUUCCUCUGAACUUAUUCCAGGUGAGGGAAAAAUAUAUUUGUUUGGUUAAAUGAUGAUUAUUUUAAAUGUUCUCUUAUAUGCAGACACACUUAACUCCAAUCAUUACAGCUACUUAGGCUGAUUCUAAAUUUUUGCUUAUGUAAGUUAUGCUGCACCUAGCACACUGGUCUAAACAUCUCUUCAUAUUAGUCUGAGAAAUAUUAGAACAUCUUAGAAGUUAAAUUACCAAUUAAGAGAUUCAUGAACAGCAUUUUAUUAUUUUGUGAAAUAUCUUGCCUAACUUGGGAAGGUAUUCUUUUUGAGGAUCCUCCUGGGUAGUGAACAAAUGGGGUGGGAAUACCCAUCCUGCACGUGUGGGACACUGGCUGGAGAUCCAGUGCUGGGAAAUGGUUGACAUAACAUGAGAAAUGUGGAUGGAAGGCAGAUGUUCCAUGUCAAGCUGAAACUCUAUCGUUUCCUUUACUAGAAUGUCUAGUGAGUCAAGGUCAAUAUUAUAAAAGAUAACCUAGUAUAAUAGUUGUGUGUCAUGCCUGUCAGGUAGUUAUUCUUAAGACUUUCAUUUUAAUUAAACUGUAAAGCAGUAGACCCUCCCCACCCCCCAACAAAAACGGGAGCUACUAUGCUAAGUCCAUUUCCUUCUGUGAUUUUAGUUCACUCUGGAUUAUUAGGGGAUUGAUUUUAGUGGAUUAUGUAAAUCAGUAGUUUUCAAAAACAGCAAAAAAGCCUAUCAGUAAACUAGAUUUUUUAAUUUCUCCACAUAUUCUGAUUCAGUUGG